rnacentral:rRNA from 1 species
GACGAACGCUGGCGGCGUGCCUAAUACAUGCAAGUAGGACGCACAGUCUAUACCGUAGCUUGCUACACCAUAGGCUGUGAGUUGCGAACGGGUGAGUAACGCGUAGGUAACCUGCCUAUUAGAGGGGGAUAACUAUUGGAAACGAUAGCUAAUACCGCAUAACAGUAUGUAACACAUGUUAGAUGCUUGAAAGAUGCAAUUGCAUCGCUAGUAGAUGGACCUGCGUUGUAUUAGCUAGUAGGUAGGGUAAUGGCCUACCUAGGCGACGAUACAUAGCCGACCUGAGAGGGUGAUCGGCCACACUGGGACUGAGACACGGCCCAGACUCCUACGGGAGGCAGCAGUAGGGAAUCUUCGGCAAUGGGGGGAACCCUGACCGAGCAACGCCGCGUGAGUGAAGAAGGUUUUCGGAUCGUAAAGCUCUGUUGUUAAGGAAGAAACGAGUGUGAGAAA